CAAUAGCGUAUAUUAAAGUUGUUGCGGUUAAAAAGCUCGUAGUUGGAUUUCUGCCGAGGACGACCGGUCCGCCCUCUGGGUGAGCAUCUGGCUCGGCCUGGGCAUCUUCUUGGAGAACGUAUCUGCACUUGACUGUGUGGUGCGGUAUUCAGGACUUUUACUUUGAGGAAAUUAGAGUGUUUCAAGCAGGCAUACGCCUUGAAUACAUUAGCAUGGAAUAAUAAGAUAGGACCUCGGUUCUAUUUUGUUGGUUUGCGCACAGAGGUAAUGAUGAACAGGGACAGUUGGGGGUAUUUGUAUUUCGUUGUCAGAGGUGAAAUUCUUGGAUUUAUGAAAGACGAACUUCUGCGAAAGCAUUUGCCAAGGAUGUUUUCAUUAAUCAAGAACGAAAGUUGGGGGCUCGAAGAUGAUUAGAUACCGU
rnacentral:rRNA from 1 species